rnacentral:rRNA from 1 species
CCUACGGGAGGCAGCAGUGAGGAAUAUUGGUCAAUGGCCGAGAGGCUGAACCAGCCAAGUCGCGUGAGGGAAGACGGACCGACGGGUGGUAAACCGCAUUUGUCGGGGAGCAAAGAGAGUCACGUGUGACUCAUUGAGAGUACCCGAAGAAAAACCAUCGGCUAACUCCGUGCCAGCAGCCGCGGUAAUACGGAGGUUGCGAGCGUUAUCCGGAUUUAUUGGGUUUAAAGGGUGCGCAGGCGGAGGUGCAAGUAAACGGUAAAAUUUCGGGGCUCAACCCCUUACUGCCGUUUAAACUGCAUCCCUUGAGUGCGCGAGAAGUAUGCGGAAUGCGUGGUGUAGCGGUGAAAUGCAUAGAUAUCACGCAGAACUCCGAUUGCGAAGGCAGCAUACCGGCGCGCAACUGACGCUCAUGCACGAAAGCGUGGGUAUCGAACAGGAUUAGAUACCCCGGUAGUA